ensembl:lncRNA
AGGCCUACAAGGCUGUUGUCAGUUCUCUUAGGAGUGCAGCUGAGUGGGGCUGGCCCUAGGCUCAGGAGAACCCAAUUGCUUCAGGCUUUGGAAGCUGGAGCUGAUCCUUUUUGUGGCUAUUUGUGGAGAACAGGUCUUCUGUCACUCUCCACAGGACCAUGCACACCAUCAACACAGUCCUGGUCCAUGCACACUUCCCAACCCCAUUAAGCAUACCCCAACGCCAUACUGCAGAGGCCCCCACGUCUCCACCAAUGCUCCUCACAGUUCACCUGGUCCUCACACAGGCCCUGCCCCACUGAGAUGGACAGACUUACCUACCUGUGGAGGAUCAAGGCACCCAGUCAAAGCAGGCAGACAAGUAGCCUGAGGGCUUGCUGUUGGGCAGGGCCGGUCCCUAGAGCAGGCUGCCUGCCCUGUCUGAACUGGAUUAAAUCUGCGCUCUAGUGGGUGUGGCAGACCCCUGUGGUAACAGGUCAAGGGAAGAACCUCAAUGGCAUCCACCAGGGUCUGCGUCAGCAUGUCUGGACCAGAAAAUGUGAACAUGGAAAGAGAUGUCUGGUUGCCUCCUCCAACAUCUGUUCCAUCUCUCCUCAUCAUGUGGCAACCACAGAAUCUGCAUGAGAUUGACCUCAUUCCUCCUCCAGCGUUGUCUCUGAAGUAAACAGAUCAGCUUGGUGCUCCUUUUGCUAUAUUGACUGACCCAGGGAUGGACAGCAAUGUCCAAGCAACAUAACCAUUGAGUUCUGGGUGUUCCUCUGACCGAUGUCUGGCUCUGGUUGGCCAAGUCAGAUGAAAUGCAAAACUCCUCUUUAUGGUCAAGGCUAAGCUAAAGUGCCCUGUGUGGUGUGCAGAUGUGUGGCCUAGAACCCCAGCUGCUAAGCGCUUCAGGAAGCAAGCCAUACUGAGGAUGAAGAUGCGUACAGAAGAGGAGGCAGAGCCGGGAGCAUCUCAGAGGAAGAGAACAGGCAUCCUGAUGCAACUGUGCCAGAAAGCCACUCUAGUCUAAGGGUUUCUAUUUCAUGAGGCAAUACACUGCUUUUAUUUUUAAGCCAAUUUGAAUUGGUUUUGUGGUUAUGUGCGACCAAAAACACCUGAAAUGAGAAAAUUUAUAAUUUUACUGUUCAGAGAUAAUCACUGUUAGCAAUUUGGUUUAGAGACUCUCAAACUUGUGUGUUUCUGGUAAAAUAUUUUAAAAUAAAUUUGGGAAUCAACAAUACAUACACUUUUGUAAGCUGUUAUUUUAAUGAAGAUGUUAUGAAUAUAUUUGCAUGUUAUUAAAUUUCAAUCACAUUAUUUUUAAUGACUUCACACUAUUACGUUAUAUGUUUGUUCCAUAACUUAAUUAAUCUAGACUUUAUAUUUGGAUAUUUAGGUUGCUUCCAAUUUCUUGUUUUGUAAAUGGCAGUAUAAUGAACAACUUUGCAGCUAAAUUCUCCAUCAUAUCCAUGCUUAUUACUUUUGAAUAAAUACCAAGAAAUGUGACAAUUAUAGGGUCAAACACUGUGCAUGAGUCUAAGGCUUUUGAUUUGCAUUGCCAACUGGCCCUCUAAAAAUGCAAUUCCAUCCUCAAAAAAAUGUGUAACAGUGCUCAUUCCAAUAUUCCCUCCAUGAUUCAGUUCUUGGUAGUAAAACAAUGAUACUAACUUCUUCAAAGAUAUGAAAACUGUGAUUGUACAUAUUGUAUUUUAUAAUCAAUAUUGUUGAUAUUAAUAAUACAAUAGCUAAUAAAAAUAUCUAUCGUUAUUUGAGCUA